ACUCCUACGGGAGGCAGCAGUGAGGAAUUUUGCGCAAUGGGGGCAACCCUGAGGCAGCAACGCCGCGUGAGUGAGGAAGGUCUUAGGAUUGUAAAGCUCUGUCAGGUGGGAAGAAAUGUAUGGUGUCUAAUA
rnacentral:rRNA from 1 species